CUUUAAACACAAGAAAAAUUAUCUCAUUUUUCUAGCUCAAUCAAGAAAAUCAGCUGCUCCUUAAAAAGCUGAGGCAGGUACGCCUAAAAAACAAGCAGCUGGAAUAUGAUGUAGUGCAGCUGCAUGAUAAACUACAUGAGAAAAAGAAGUGCUUGCCUGCCUGUGUCACAAGGAAAGAAGUAUUACAGAUGUAUAAUGAACUGAAGAAAAGGUACAAUAAAGAAGUCAAAACAAAUCAAAGACAAAAUGAAACAGUUGCAAUGCUGUCUGGUAAAAUUAAUGACUUGGAACACCAACUUCAUUUAGCAAACCAAAAGAUAAAUGCCUUGGAAUAUAAAAAAAAGGACAAAUUUGCUUCAAUUCAACGAAGACUGUCAUCUGACAAAUGUAUGUGCAAAAAGAAAGGAAGCUGUUCCUGCAAAUAUUUAGACCAGCUGCUUUUUGAGACACAGAGACUGAAGAUGGAAAAUGAAACGCUCUCCAAAGAAAGAAGAAUGUUAAAAAAUGAGCUUGCUGCAUUAGAUAAGGAUUUCUUUGAUGAAAUAGAAGAUUUAAAAUAUGCUCUACAAGAAGCCGUAAAGCUGAAUACCCACUAUGAAAAGUAUUUAAAACAGUUAAGUUCCACUUAUGGAAUCACUCUUACAGUGUUGAGAGCUGGCAAUCCUCGUACAACUUUAUGGAAAUAAUAAUCAAGACUAUUAUUAAAGUAUACUGAGUGUACACAGAAAAAUAAACUCUCAACAGAGUAAUUUCUUAAUUUGUGC
rnacentral:lncRNA from 1 species